rnacentral:misc_RNA from 1 species
AAAGUCGUAACAAGGUUUCCGUAGGUGAACCUGCGGAAGGAUCAUUACAAAUCAUUGCAGCAAGCUCGGCCCUAUCCUAUUAUUAUGGUGGGGCCGAGUGAGCGCACAUUGGCACAAGGCUGUUGCAGCCUUGAUGUUUACGCUUGUAUGUUUGACAAAGUAUAAAUUGUGACUAAAAUAUAGACAACUUUUAACAAUGGAUCUCUUGGCUCUU